UACAGAGGGGGGCAAGCGUUUAUUCGGAAUUAUUGGGCGUAAAGGGCGCGUAGGCGGCCUGGCAAGUGGAAGGUGAAAUCCCUCGGCUUAACCGAGGAACUGCCCUCCAAACUGCUUGGCUUGAGUCCGGGAGAGGUGAGUGGAAUUCCCAGUGUAGCGGUGAAAUGCGUAGAUAUUGGGAGGAACACCAGUGGCGAAGGCGGCUCACUGGACCGGAACUGACGCUGAGGCGCGAAAGCGUGGGGAGCAAACGGG
rnacentral:rRNA from 1 species